CCUACGGGCGGCAGCAGUGAGGAAUAUUGGUCAAUGGCCGCAGGGCUGAACCAGCCAAGUCGCGUGAGGGAUGACGGUCCUAUGGAUUGUAAACCUCUGUUGUCAGGGAGCAAAGGGCGCCACGUGUGGCGCUUUGCGAGUACCUGAAGAAAAAGCAUCGGCUAACUCCGUGCCAGCAGCCGCGGUAAUACGGAGGAUGCGAGCGUUAUCCGGAUUUAUUGGGUUUAAAGGGUGCGCAGGCGGAAUGUCGAGUCAGCGGUAAAAUUUCGGGGCUCAACCCCGUCGUGCCGUUGAAACUGGCGUUCUUGAGUGAGCGAGAAGUAUGCGGAAUGCGUGGUGUAGCGGUGAAAUGCAUAGAUAUCACGCAGAACUCCGAUUGCGAAGGCAGCAUACCGGCGCUCAACUGACGCUCAUGCACGAAAGCGUGGGUAUCGAACAGGAUUAGAUACCCCAGUAGUC
rnacentral:rRNA from 1 species